UACAGAGGGUGCAAGCGUUGUUCGGAAUUACUGGGCGUAAAGGGCUCGUAGGCGGCCAACUAAGUCAGACGUGAAAUCCCCUCGGCUUAACCGGGGAACUGCGUCUGAUACUGGAUGGCUCGAGUUUGGGAGAGGGAUGCGGAAUUCCAGGUGUAGCGGUGAAAUGCGUAGAUAUCUGGAGGAACACCGGUGGCGAAGGCGGCAUCCUGGACCAACACUGACGCUGAUGAGCGAAAGCCAGGGGAGCAAACGGG
rnacentral:rRNA from 1 species